rnacentral:snoRNA from 1 species
GGGUCAAUGAUGAGAAUCUUACAUUGUUCUGAAGAGAGGCGAUGACUUAAAAAUCAUGCUCAAGGGCUGGGCGCGGUGGCUC